AUGAUUUUUUAAUGGCUGCGGUAAUUUGACUGUACAAAGGUAGCAUAAUAAUUAGUCUUUUAAUUGAAGUCUGGAAUGAAUGAUUGGAUGAGAAAUUUACUUUCUUUAAAUUUUAUUUUUGUAAUUUAAUUUUUAAGUGAAAAAGCUUAAAUUUUUUUUUGGGACGAUAAGACCCUAUAGAUCUUUAUUUUUUUAUUUAUUUAUAAAUUUUUGGAUUUAUCUAAUUUAUUUUUAUUUGAAAUAUUUUUGUUGGGGUGACAGUUAAAAUUUCUUUGUCUUUUAUUUAUUAAUUCAUUAAUAUAUGAUUUUUUUGAUCUUUAAUUUUAUUGACUUAUAAGAUAAAGUUACCUUAGGGAUAACAGCGUAAUUUAUUUGUAGAGUUCUAAUCGAUAAAUAAGUUUGCGACCUCGAUGUUGGAUUAAGAUUAGAGGAGGGUGAAGAUUUUUUUUAUUCU
rnacentral:rRNA from 1 species